UGCGUAGGCGGUUUCGUGUGUCGGGUGUGAAAUCUCACCGUUCAUCGGUGAAACUGCGUUCGAAACUACGGGACUAGAGUACAGGAGAGGAGAGCGGAAUUCUCGGUGUAGCGGUGAAAUGCGUAGAUAUCGAGAAGAACGCCGGUGGCGAAAGCGGCUCUCUGGACUGAUACUGACGCUGAGGCACGAAAGCUGGGGGAGCAAACAGGAUUAGAUACCCUGGUAGUCC
rnacentral:rRNA from 1 species